rnacentral:rRNA from 1 species
GGGCCCGCACAAGCGGUGGAGCAUGUGGUUUAAUUCGAUGAUACGCGAGGAACCUUACCAGGGCUUAAAUGUGGUCUGACAGCUUUAGAGAUAGAGUUUUCUUCGGACAGAUCACAAGGUGCUGCAUGGUUGUCGUCAGCUCGUGCCGUGAGGUGUCAGGUUAAGUCCUAUAACGAGCGCAACCCCUAUCGUUAGUUGCUAGCAGGUAAUGCUGAGGACUCUAGCGAGACUGCCGGUGCAAACCGUGAGGAAGGUGGGGAUGACGUCAAAUCAUCACGGCCCUUACGUCCUGGGCCACACACGUGCUACAAUGGUAUGGACAAAGGGCAGCAAGUUCGCGAGGACAAGCAAAUCCCAUAAACCGUGGCUCAGUUCAGAUCGUAGGCUGCAACUCGCCUACGUG